rnacentral:rRNA from 1 species
GACGAACGCUGGCGGCGUGCUUAACACAUGCAAGUCGAACGGAAAGGCGCGGCGCUUGUGGGUUGCUCGAGAGGCGAACGGGGGAGUAACACGUGAGUAAACUGCCCUUGACUGUGGGAGAACAUCAGGGAACAGGGGCUAAUACCGGAGAGGAGCUCCUGCAGCGUGGGGGGGGUUGGAAAGAUACGGCGGUUGGGGAUGGACUCGCGGCUUAUCAGCUUGAUGGUGGGGUAGUGGCGUACCAAGGCUUUGAAGGGGAGCCGGCCUGGGAGGGUGAACGGCCACAUUGGGCCUGCGAUACGGCCCAGACUCCUACGGGCGGCAGCAGUGGGGAAUAUUGCACAGUGGGCGGAAGCCUGAUGCAGCAGCGCCGCGUGCGGGAUGACGGCCUUCGGGUUGUAAACCGCUUUCGCAUGUGACGAAGCGUGCGUGACGGUAAUGGGUCAAGAAGCACCGGCUAACUACGUG